ACUGUCGCAUGCAACCUGCUUACAACUUGUACUGUGUAAAUCACGCACACAACUCGUCCACGUUGUCGCGAGUUGUUUGCUUGAUUUUGUACACAGUACAACUCAAGUUGUAAGCAGGUUGCAUGCGACAGU